CUCAAUUCAGUGAUUCUCAGUGAGUGGGAGGAAAGGCCCCUUGCCCUGACCCAAGGAUCUUUCAGAAUAUCCAGGAUUAUAUCUUCAAUAAAGGAAGAAUGAGAGGAAGGAAAAAAGGGUGGAAGGAAGGAAAGGUUACCAUCAGAACACAUUUCCUGGUUUCCUGCAUAGAGUAAGUACAACAAGCUAACAUGUACUUCUUUCCAAAUGCAGUAAGAUAAAAUAAUCUCAGUC
rnacentral:lncRNA from 1 species